GGGAGGCAGCAGUGGGGAAUCUUGGACAAUGGGGGAAACCCUGAUCCAGCAAUGCCGCGUGUGUGAAGAAGGCCUUCGGGUUGUAAAGCACUUUCGAUAGGGAAGAAAAGCUUGGCGCUAAUCAGUCAAGUCUUGACGUUACCUAGAGAAGAAGCACCGGCUAACUCUGUGCCAGCAGCCGCGGUAAUACAGAGGGUGCAAGCGUUAAUCGGAAUUACUGGGCGUAAAGCGCGCGUAGGCGGUUCGAUAAGUCGGGUGUGAAAGCCCCGGGCUCAACCUGGGAAUUGCAUUCGAUACUGUCGAGCUAGAGUAUGGUAGAGGAAAGCGGAAUUCCACAUGUAGCGGUGAAAUGCGUAGAUAUGUGGAGGAACAUCAGUGGCGAAGGCGGCUUUCUGGACCAAUACUGACGCUGAGGCGCGAAAGCGUGGGGAGCAAACAGGAUUAGAUACCCCGGUAGG
rnacentral:rRNA from 1 species